UUUUGGAGUUGCUUGUUGCGGCGUUUCGGAUCUAAUUAAGUUUUGGUCUUUUGAGAGAUUUUCUUGUACUCCGCCUUUUCGACAUUAAUAAAAUAUUUGCUCCGUCUUCGCCCGUGGACGUAGGCCGUUGGCCGAACCACGUAAUUAUCGGUGUGUUCUUUCCGCUUAUCUUUUCUUUUCUUGCAUUAAGUUAUUUUCUGGAUCUAUUUUUCGCCGUUCCGAUUUUAACAACAUAUAUAUAAUAGGAGUUUUGCUUAAAUCGAGCCGUUUACUACCGAUUUAUUUUCGAUGAUAGAGCUUCCAAAUUGAUUAUCAGCACUAUUAAACAUGAUCUAAACUAUUUAAACUAUCUGGAAAUCAAAUUUCAUACAUUUUCGAUAUUGCUCUCUUGUCCAUCAAGUAAAUAGAAAAAUGAAUGGUUAGAAUUGAAUAUCCUUCAAAAAGUGAUGAUACAAUUUUUCUAUUUGAGAUUUAGAGUCUAGAUCUUAUUUUAAAUAGUUUAAAGAAUUUUUUAACAAAAAUUUAGUUGAUUUGAAAUCUUCUAUACCGUUAAAGGAGCAAACGCACCAUAUCAGCCAUUAAAAUUAUAGAUUUUGUGACUCUUUGAUCGUUCAGUUAGUGAUGCCAAAAAAUCAUGAAAUUUGAUUUCUAGAUAAUUUAAAUGGUCUAGAUCAUGUUCAACGGUGCCGAUCGCCGAUUUAGAAGCCCUAUCAUUAAAAACAAAUCGAUAGUAAACCGAGCAGUUUACUAUCGAUAGUAGCCCAGUCAAACUCUAUAUAAUAGAAUACAUAAAUUGACAAUCCCAUCGCAUCA
rnacentral:lncRNA from 1 species